UCUAGAACUGUCGGGUAGGGGAGUGGCCAUGAUCUUGGGGUCACUGGGGAAAGAGGUGGCCCUUUGUGGGUUCCAGAGGUCGGGACUGAAAGCGAACGUCCCUCAGUUGGGUGGCCGGGAGUUGCACCAGUUAUAAGCCGGGCGUAUUUCGAUCGGCUAGUAGUUGUUUACUUGGUGAGGUUUGCGCCAGGCGGAAGGCGGUUGCCGCCUACCUAAAAUUGGAGUCAGCAGCACUUAGUUUCCCUUUCCAGUGAGGAAUAUCUAAUUCUUCUACGGUUAAGCCGGGAAAACAGCGGCUAGUUUAGGAGGGAAGAAAACCCUUGGGCAAACGCCCAAAGCCUGCGUAUAUUCCGGCCGGAGCAUCCUGGCGCCCAGUUUGGGGAGGAGGGGUGAAGGGGAGGGUUUGGAUACGAAGCCCGGCAGGGAGCGGGUAACUCCUGGAGCCACUCCGCCGAGCACUGCCUGUGGCCCUGGUCGAGGAUACCAUUCUGGUUGCUCAGUGAUUGACCAGGAGGCGGAAGCCAGUUAAGGGGACCAAGGAGUGGAGUAGGGAGAACCUCCAUCGGCCCACGGGCGCGAGUUAGUGUUCGAAUCUUUGGGAGCUCGAAGAGCUUCGCUAAAUCUGACUCCCUUCGUCUAGUCUCUGUUUGGCAGCCCCCGCGCCCCAGAGCAGGUGUUUGGGGCGGGUAGGGGGUGUUUUGGUUUGGUUUUUGGAUCUUCUAAAGGAGUCAGUAUCUAUUGGGAAACAACCCCUAGGCAAGGAGAAGAACCGGGGGCCGGAGCGGAGCGUGUUUCAGAGAAUCCUUGUGGGGGCGGGGAGGGGAAGAGCACCGGUGCGAACCCCGGGGUGCCCCCUCGCCCGACUUGGACUUCUCCGACUAAAGAGGUGGGAGGAGUUCCCUGCAGCCUGCGGGGCCAAGAAGAAAGUGCUAAGCUGAGGAGCCGCAGUCGGAGGACCCCAGGGACCCGACAGGAAGUCUCCGUACGACCCCAACGGAUCCACAUGCCCGGAAGCCCAGGCGACACUAAGCCAGCGCUGGGGAACUGACGUACUCCUGCAGUCGCAGGGCGCUCCAUGCCUCUCUGUCCUCUUCUUUGUUGUGGGUAACGUUCUCUGCGGGAGACCUGAGGUUUUCCAAGGGGGACAUGCCAGCUACACUGGCCUUGGCGCCCUGAGCUAAGCACCAGGACUCACAGCCUAGCACGAAGGCAGGUAGCACCUUCACCCGCCGCGGACGAUAGGCGCUCUCCUGUACCUCCUUUAGCUCGCGAGGCCCGCCCUUCGCGAGGUCCCAGAGAAAAGCAGGCUGUGGAAAACUGGGCGCCCCCUUCUUUCACCCACCUUCUUACCCCUGUCAGCGCCGAGAUCUGUAGCAGAGGUUCCUGGUCUGAACCACCGAUUGGCAAAGAAAGCUGCAGAUUAAACUUCUCGUUUUACAGAGAAGGAAACUGAGGCCCAGACAGCCGAAGGAGAGGCAGUCUAUGGAGCGCAGCGGUAAAGAGCAAGGGGUUGGUGGCCCCAGAAUGGAACCUCAGCUCUGCCAGGUAACCAACAGCUGUGUGACCCUAGACGAGUUCCGCAGUCUCUCUGAGCCUCAGUUUCCUUACUGGUCAAACGGGAUAAUGGGAUACUAGCGCCCACCUCAUAGAGUUGUUCUGAGGAUUAGAUAGGAGAGCAGUGUGGGCCUUUGACUCAAUCAACUUUACAGUUUUUGUUACUACUACUGUUUAAGGACAGGAAACAAGUUAGUGGCAACGCCGAGCUGAAACCCGGGUCUCUCAACGUCCAGUUGGAGGUUUUACCCACCACCCCUCUACCUCUUCAGAGCUAAUGGGAUGCAGAGGCGAGGACAGCCCCUGGAAAACCAUGUGGCGUUGAUACACUGGCAAAGCGCAGGCAUCCCGGCCUCGAAGGUGCAUAAUUAUUGCAAUAUGAAAAAAUCGAGGCUGGGUAGGAGCAGGGCAGUGAGGAUUUCUCAACCCUUACUUUCACCCCGGCGCUGUCCACUGCAUCUGACAGAGCGCGGAGCUGGGCUGCUACAGCCGCAACCCCAGGGACCAGUGCGCACGCCUGGGCCGCCCUCCGGGAGUCACCCAGCGGCCGCGGACAACUGAAUAAACACCCCAAAGCGCUGCGGUCGGUCAAGGGCGGGGACAGCCACACUGCGCGCGGGGCCCGCAGGCCGUAAUAAAGAGUGGCUCGACCUCGCUGCUGCCUGUCGCGGGAGAGGAACAAGCUUUCGACUAGCGCCUCUCCCCGGGGCCCGCGCCCCGAGCCCCACGCGCAAGACAGCCCAACAGCUGUUCCUCCCCUCCCCGCCGACUCCAACUCUUCGGAAUCUGCCCACUCGGGGCUGCAGGGCAAGUGUUUAGGAUGGUUCCCAGCCCCGCGCUGGCGGUGAAAAUUUCAACGUCAUUCCUUCAAUUAAAAAAAGGGGGGGGCAAGGGAGGGGCUUUGUGAUAACUACUCCCAGCUUCUUCUGAUCAUUUCAAAAUUAAGUCGAUUUUUUUUAACCAGUCCCCACUUACUGUCCUAACUCUCCUCGCUGACCCUAUCUGGGAGCCCGGAACCGUUAGGUACUGCCGAAUGCGGUGCAAAAUUUCCCCCUCUCCCCCAGUUCGCAGUGCCUGGAGCCGCUGGGGUUACUCGUCUGUUCUGAUGCCACCGCGAGAUGGUCCCCGAGCUCCCCGAGAGUCCUCAGUGAAAGGAUUCCGCGGCACUGCCUCUAUUAUUAUACCGUAAAUCUUUUUAAAUUCUGGAACUAAUUAUAUAGAGGAUAUGUCUCAAUUUGUUCUGCAUUAAUGCCACAGUGGGGAUGGAGGCCAGGCCGUGGCCAGAGCAGAUACGUAGGCCCAUGAAAUUGAUGAACUGAGAGUUGCUUCCAGUCCUGAGCGCACCAUCUGGAAUUCCAGUCUGAGGUUACAAUUAGAACUCCUGACCCCAGAUUCAACUUUGCAAACAACAGGGGAAAAAAAUGGGGAAAAGAAAAACCACGAGAGAGGGAAAAAAAAUUAUUCUGCACCUGU
rnacentral:lncRNA from 10 species